rnacentral:tRNA from 1 species
GCCUUCGUGGUGUAAUGGUUAAGUACAUUCGGCGUGUAUUCGAGAGGUCCGUGGUUCGAAUCCCGGCGAAGGCG